AUUAGUGGCGAACGGGUGAGUAACACGUGAGUAACCUGCCCUUGACUCUGGGAUAAGCCUGGGAAACUGGGUCUAAUACCGGAUACGACCAUCUGGCGCAUGUCAUGGUGGUGGAAAGCUUUUGUGGUUUUGGAUGGACUCGCGGCCUAUCAGCUUGUUGGUGGGGUAAUGGCCUACCAAGGCGACGACGGGUAGCCGGCCUGAGAGGGUGACCGGCCACACUGGGACUGAGACACGGCCCAGACUCCUACGGGAGGCAGCAGUGGGGAAUAUUGCACAAUGGGCGCAAGCCUGAUGCAGCGACGCCGCGUGAGGGAUGACGGCCUUCGGGUUGUAAACCUCUUUCAGUAGGGAAGAAGCGAAAGUGACGGUACCUGCAGAAGAAGCGCCGGCUAACUACGUGCCAGCAGCCGCGGUAAUACGUAGGGCGCAAGCGUUAUCCGGAAUUAUUGGGCGUAAAGAGCUCGUAGGCGGUUUGUCGCGUCUGCUGUGAAAGACCGGGGCUCAACUCCGGUUCUGCAGUGGGUACGGGCAGACUAGAGUGCAGUAGGGGAGACUGGAAUUCCUGGUGUAGCGGUGAAAUGCGCAGAUAUCAGGAGGAACACCGAUGGCGAAGGCAGGUCUCUGGGCUGUAACUGACGCUGAGGAGCGAAAGCAUGGGGAGCGAACAGGAUUAGAUACCCUGGUAGUCCAUGCCGUAAACGUUGGGCACUAGGUGUGGGGGACAUUCCACGUUUUCCGCGCCGUAGCUAACGCAUUAAGUGCCCCGCCUGGGGAGUACGGCCGCAAGGCUAAAACUCAAAGGAAUUGACGGGGGCCCGCACAAGCGGCGGAGCAUGCGGAUUAAUUCGAUGCAACGCGAAGAACCUUACCAAGGCUUGACAUGAACCGGAAAGACCUGGAAACAGGUGCCCCGCUUGCGGUCGGUUUACAGGUGGUGCAUGGUUGUCGUCAGCUCGUGUCGUGAGAUGUUGGGUUAAGUCCCGCAACGAGCGCAACCCUCGUUCUAUGUUGCCAGCGCGUUAUGGCGGGGACUCAUAGGAGACUGCCGGGGUCAACUCGGAGGAAGGUGGGGACGACGUCAAAUCAUCAUGCCCCUUAUGUCUUGGGCUUCACGCAUGCUACAAUGGCCGGUACAAAGGGUUGCGAUACUGUGAGGUGGAGCUAAUCCCAAAAAGCCGGUCUCAGUUCGGAUUGGGGUCUGCAACUCGACCCCAUGAAGUCGGAGUCGCUAGUAAUCGCAGAUCAGCAACGCUGCGGUGAAUACGUUCCCGGGCCUUGUACACACCGCCCGUCAAGUCACGAAAGUUGGUAACACCCGG
rnacentral:rRNA from 1 species